GGGCGUAAGAGCUCGUAGGCGGUUUCUCACGUCUGACGUGAAAGUCCCCGGGCUCAACUCCGGAUCUGCGGUGGGUACUGGCAGACUAGAGUGAUGUAGAGGAGACUGGAUUUCCUGGGGUACCGGUGAAAUGCGCAGAUAUGCGGAGGAACACCGAUGGCGAAGGCGAGUCUCUGGGCUUUAACUGACGCUGAGGAGCGAAAGCGUGGGGAGCGAACAGGAUUAGAUACCCUGGUAGUCCAUGCCGUAAAC
rnacentral:rRNA from 1 species